UGACCCAAACGAUGAAGGGAGCAUCCGUCGACAGUCGGAAAGAAAGCACUGUCAUGGAGUUGCUCUCUUUACCGCUAAGUCA
rnacentral:pre_miRNA from 1 species